rnacentral:rRNA from 1 species
AACGAACGUUAGCGGCGCGCCUAACACAUGCAAGUCGAACGCGACAGGGGCAACUCUGUUGAGUGGCGCACGGGUGAGUAACACGUAGGUAAUCUCCCCUCGAGUGGUGGAUAACCUUCCGAAAGGAGGGCUAAUACAGCAUAAGACCACGGCUUCGAAAGGAGCUGAGGUCAAAGCGGAGGAUCGCAAGACUUCGCGCUUGAGGAUGAGCCUGCGGCCCAUCAGGUAGUUGGCGGAGUAACAGCCCACCAAGCCUAAGCCGGGCAGCUGGUCUGAGAGGAUGAUCAGCCAAACUGGAACUGAGACACGGUCAAGACUCCUACGGGAGGCAGCAGUGGGGAAUCUUGCGCAAUGGACGAAAGUCUGACGCAGCGACGCCGCGUGGGUGAUGGAGGCCUUCGGGUUGUAAAGCCCUGUGGGGAGGGACGAAUAAGUUGCAGCUAAUACCUGCAGCGAUGACGGUACCUCCUUAGCAAGCACCGGCUAACUCUGUGCCAGCCGCCGCAGUAAGAC